ACAGUGGUAUUUCAGUGGUAGAAUUCUAGCUUUCUAUGCUGCAGGCCCGAGUUCGAUUUCUGGCCAAUGCA
rnacentral:tRNA from 1 species